AUGCAUCUAUUUGACAGACCAGGAGCAGUUCCUGUCCGCUGCUAAGGUUUCCACUACAGAUGCAAAAAAAAAAAGCUCUGGUGCUUUCUGUCUGAUUGCAGCAACCAAGCUUAAAUGAGGGAAUACAGGA
rnacentral:snoRNA from 1 species